GAUGAACGCUGGCGGCGUGCUUAACACAUGCAAGUCGAACGGAAAGGCCGAAGCUUGCUUCGGUACUCGAGUGGCGAACGGGUGAGUAACACGUGGGUGAUCUGCCCUGUACUUCGGGAUAAGCUUGGGAAACUGGGUCUAAUACCGGAUAUGACGAUCUCUUGGAUGGGGUUGUGGAAAGCUUUUGCGGUGUGGGAUGAGCUCUCGGCCUAUCUGCUCGUUGUUGGGGUAAUGGCCGACAAGAACGUCGACGGGUAGCCGGCCUGUGAGGGUGUACGGAGCCAUUGGGACAGAGAUACAGGGCAGACUCGGACGGGGGACAGCAGGGGGGGAAAUAGCACAAUGAGCGCAAGCGUGAUGCAGCGACGCCGCGUGGGAGAUGACAGCCUUCGGGGUGUAAAAACCUUUCGCAAUCGUCAAAGCCCUUUGGUGACGGUAGGUUGAGAAGAAGCACCGGCUAACUACGUG
rnacentral:rRNA from 1 species